rnacentral:misc_RNA from 1 species
UGCAGCUUGCUUGCAUCGCUGGCUUGGAUCGUGGCCGUCGGCCGACGCACGUCGGCCCGGCUGAAAUGCACGCGGAGCGCCAACGCGCCUCUCGCGACGUAACUAGCGUUGUAGACCCCUCGCUGGACGUUUAGCGGAAGCACGGCUCCCCAGUCUUUAAUUUCGACCUCAGAUCAAGCAGGACUACCCGCUGAACUUAA